rnacentral:lncRNA from 1 species
AUGUGGACAGCUGGCGCUGAGGGACGGAGCCUCUGCUCAGCUCCAGCCCAGCAUGCCCUGCUCCAUAGGUCAAAGAUUGCUCGAAGCCGCCCGUUCCACAAAUUCUGGGGGUCCUUGGGGACAAGUCCCAUUCUCCUGUGGGCAAGCUGGAACGUCCCCAGCCCCAAACAGCCAUCGGAGAUGCCUUGCUCCAGCCCUGCAUGGGAUUUAGGGACAGCCCUGUCCCUGCCUGCCACCACCACCCUGGCCAGCUUGGUGGGAAAGGCCAGGCUGGAGACUUCUCUUCACCCGCAGCGUGGGGCUGGGGACCUCAGCUGCCAUCCCCGGGGAGGUGGCAGCAGGGAAAGCAGCACCGUGAAAGGCAGGAGGAAUGCACUGGGCUGCGCAUCCCAUCAAUGGGAAGCAGAAUAUCUGCCGGGCGCUCGCCUGGGGGAAGGAGGUGCCCUCAUCCUCCCCACUCUGCCCUCAUGGCGGCCUCAUCAUCCUCAGGAGGGGCAAAAAAGCAAAAGCCAAAAAAAGGGUGCCUGCCCUUUCCCCCUUGUAUCUGCUCUCAUUUUUGGCCCAGUUUCCCAGGGAAACGGGGCUCACACCCCUGUGCCAUGCAGCUGCCGUCCUGUGUUCAGUCUCUCCAAACCAAACAGCCAAAGUAAAGCACUCAGCCCUGCCAGGCACAUGUGUGCACAAGGUGGGGGCAUCAUCCCACCUCCAGCCUCACCACCGCCCCACGGCAUCCCCUCGCAGCACCGUGCCCCCCAUGUGGCUGUGGGGACAGCUGGAGCGCUCGGAGCCACCGAGCUCAGCCUCCCCGUAAUGCCCAGACACGCUUACAUGCUGCUCCCAGGACGAAGUUUACAGCCCUGCCCCCGCAUAAUGAGCACAUGCCCAUUAAUUUCACCAGCCCCACUUUGCUCGUCCCCUUGCUCGCACGGCAUGGAUGUGCCGCGUGCCCACAGGACACACCAGGGCUGGACCCGCGGUGCCCCCGACGUGCCACCAGCCACCACCGCUUGCCCAGCCAGGCGCUCCUCAGAGGGUGCCCAUGCGGGGCAGUGCUCACGACGACUCGGUGCCCACGGACCCGGCUGCUGCCAUGCUCACCUCCAGCCUUUGCCUCUGUGCUGCUGUGUCCCCAGCCGAGUGAGCGCCAGCGGCCGCCCGUUCCCUCGGUGGCGGUCCUGGGCUGCGUCAGAGCCGGUCCCAGCGCCGGCCCUCCCCACGGUUACAACACAGUGCCCUUUCCCCUCUCCAGCACAGCCGCUCCUGCAGGAAAUGUCCUUUUUUAAUAACAGUUGGGAUUUGUUUCCUCCUUGA